GCUGGGAAUAGUGGCUUAUGCCUUUAAUCCUUGUUACUAAGGAGACUGAGAAUGCCAGAUUCCUUCAACUUGGGAGUUCUGAGCUGCAGGGGGCUAAGCUGAUUGUGUCUGGCACCAACAUGGUGAGCCCUCAGGAGUAGGAGGGCCACCAGACUACCUAAGGAGGAGAGAACCUGCCCAGGCUGGAAAUAGAGAAGGUCAAGGCUUCUGUGCCAGUCUGUGAUAGGAUUGGGUCUAUGAAUAGCUGCAGGAUAGGGAGACCCGGGAAAGAGAAGGGACCAA
rnacentral:SRP_RNA from 1 species